ensembl:miRNA mdo-mir-7398p mdo-mir-7398p
UGUGUGGAGGCAAGGAACUAUGCCGUUUUGUCUCUCUCGGUAAAUCCUUGCGUCUCACAGU